rnacentral:lncRNA from 1 species
UUUACGGCUUGCCAAACCAUGACACGAUAUAUGACCACGGUUGUGCCAACCACAGUGGUCCUACAUGUUAACUAUGGCCACAACCAUACUUCGCCAAAGGUGGCCCCUACAAUCAUAUCACGUCACCACUCUCAUUAGAGGAUACACCGUCAUCCACAGGGAGUAGUCCUCUCACAUCUUUUCAGAAUAGAUGAGAGAAAAAAUAGAAACUUCUCGGAGAUAAAAAGCCUAACAAAAUACAUU